rnacentral:rRNA from 1 species
CAGUCGCCGCGGGAAUACGGAGGAUCCAAGCGUUAUCCGGAAUCAUUGGGUUUAAAGGGUCCGUAGGCGGUCUUGUAAGUCAGUGGUGAAAGCCCAUCGCUCAACGGUGGAACGGCCAUUGAUACUGCAGGACUUGAAUUAUUGGGAAGUAACUAGAAUAUGUAGUGUAGCGGUGAAAUGCUUAGAGAUUACAUGGAAUACCAAUUGCGAAGGCAGGUUACUACCAAUUGAUUGACGCUGAUGGACGAAAGCGUGGGUAGCGAACAGGAUUAGAUACCCCCGUAGUCCCUGUCUCUUAUAA